CCCACCGGCAUGCAAAGUUGCCUGCGUUGUUUCUACACGUGACCAAUUUAACAUAAGGCAAGGUGCACUGGUGUAAAAUAUAUAUAUAUAUUUAAACAUGGCAACCUGGACGAGGAUUGAAAAAGAAUCCUGAUCAAGUCAAAGUAGCCCAGGAGAACGGAGCAGCGUUUGUGGGAGGAGCCGACCUUGUGCAGAGAGGUCGGUUAAAGUCGACAUUCCCAAGAUGCUGGAGUUGUUCCAGACUGGCCAUGAGUAUAUAGUGGAGAAGGAAUGCUGUCAUCACUAGGGUAGGAACGGUAAGUAUGAAGGAACGCUGUCAUCACAAGGGUAGGAACGGUAAGUAUGAAGGAACGCUGUCAUCACUAGGGUAGAAACGGUAAGUAUGAAGGAACGCUGUCAUCACAAGGGUAGGAACGGUAAGUAUGAAGGAACGCUGUCAUCACUAGGGUAGGAACGCUGUCAUCACUAGGGUAGGAACGCUGUCAUCACUAGGGUAGGAACGGUAAGUAUGAAGGAACGCUGUCAUCACUAGGGUAGAAACGGUAAGUAUGAAGGAACGCUGUCAUCACAAGGGUAGGAACGGUAAGUCUGAAGGAACGCUGUCAUCACUAGGGUAGGAACGGUAAGUAUGAAGGAACGCUGUCAUCACUAGGGUAGGAACGGUAAGUAUGAAGGAACGCUGUCAUCACUACGGUAGGAACGGUAAGUCUGAAGGAACGCUGUCAUCACUAGGGUAGGAAUGGUAAGUAUGAAGGAACGCUGUCAUCACUAGGGUAGGAACGCUGUCAUCACUAGGGUAGGAACGCUGUCAUCACUAGGGUAGGAACGGUAAGUAUGAAGGAACGCUGUCAUCACUAGGGUAGGAACGCUGUCAUCACUAGGGUAGGAACGCUGUCAUCACUAGGGUAGGAACGGUAAGUAUGAAGGAACGCUGUCAUCACUAGGGUAGAAACGGUAAGUAUGAAGGAACGCUGUCAUCACAAGGGUAGGAACGGUAAGUCUGAAGGAACGCUGUCAUCACUAGGGUAGGAACGGUAAGUAUGAAGGAACGCUGUCAUCACUAGGGUAGGAACGGUAAGUAUGAAGGAACGCUGUCAUCACUACGGUAGGAACGGUAAGUCUGAAGGAACGCUGUCAUCACUAGGGUAGGAAUGGUAAGUAUGAAGGAACGCUGUCAUCACUAGGGUAGGAACGCUGUCAUCACUAGGGUAGGAACGCUGUCAUCACUAGGGUAGGAACGGUAAGUAUGAAGGAACGCUGUCAUCACAAGGGUAGGAACGGUAAGUAUGAAGGAACGCUGUCAUCACUAGGGUAGAAACGGUAAGUAUGAAGGAACGCUGUCAUCACUACGGUAGGAACGGUAAGUCUGAAGGAACGCUGUCAUCACUAGGGUAGGAACGGUAAGUCUGAAGGAACGCUGUCAUCACUAGGGUAGCAACGGUAAGUAUGAAGGCAUUACGGAACGACCUACAGUAUAAUCACCACAACGUUAAAGCAUACUUGUAAUCCUCACAAAUGUCUGUCAGAUUAUCCAACGUUAAGAGAAUGAAUCCAAGGUUAAGAGAAGGCCAAGAGUGAGCAAAGCUGCCAUCAAGGCAAAGGGUGGCUAUUUGAAGAAUCUGAAAUCUGAAAUAUUUAUUAUCCAAGUACCGCCCAGCGCAUCGUUGUUCGUAACAUGACAUGUACCUAUACUAGAGUAACUACGGUGUAAUUUAUUUAUGAACUGAUGGUAGCAAUAGAACAUAGUUGUAGGAGCCAUUUUGGCCUGUUUUAUGAGUUGUGGUAAUGUUCUCCUUCAAGGGUUAUUUCUCUACUUGUUUUGUACACUAGAGGGCACUAUAUGUUGGGGUCAUGGGUCACUGUUCACGUGUGUGUGUGUGUGUGUGUGUGUGUGUGUGUGUGUGUGUGUGUGUGU